AUUUAGCAGGUUGUACUCACAUUAGAGAUAUAUGAAAUGAGUAACCGCUUUUAACCAAAAAAAAAAAAGGGAAUACCGAGGUUGGUUUUAACUCACCUAAUCCAAGUUUCUCAUAAACUGAGUAAGGUAAAAGGUUGACACUUGCCCCUAGAUCUAAGAGUGCUCGAUCAUUGAAAUUUUUUCUAAGACACAGGAGAUGGUGGGAGCACCAGGAUCUUUGAAUUUUGAAGGGGUGUUGUGUUGGAGAAUAGAACUCACUUGCUCAGUUAGGAGGACCUUUUUAGGCACAUGUGUCCUAGAUUUUCGCUUUUGGGUACAAAGGUCUUUGAGAAUUUUGGCAUAGGAGGGAACUUGUCUAAUAGCAUCAAGAAGCGGAAGGUUGAUUUUGACUUGUUUGAAAACCCCAUCAUCUCCUCUAGUGAAGUUUCCUUUUUGCCAAAGGGAGAGGGUGAAUUAAGAGCUUCAGAAAAUGGGACUUUUGGAAUGUGAGUUUUGGCAGAAGGUGGAAGAGCUGAAGAAGAAGAAGGUUUUGGAUUUUCAUGUGAUACAUUUUGCUCCUCUUCUUUACCUUCGUUAUUGUUUCCCUUCCCAAUCUUAUUGUCUACUACACAUCCACUCCUUAGGGUAGUCAAAGCAUUGGCUUGUUCAUGAUGAAUUGUAUUUAGUUGAUUUUCUUGAGCUAUGUAUUGUCCCCUAGGAUUACUCACUGGUUGGCUUGGAAGCCUUCCUUCCUCUUGCUUGUUCAGUGCAUUAGCUAGUUGCCCCAUUUGGGAUUCUAGCUUGGCGAUAGAUUGCGUGUGAGAGUGCACCAAUUGUGUAAUGGUUUCCAAAUCUUGAAGGGAGGUCAACACUUUCUCCUCAAAGGCUGUGUUUCUACAGGGUGGAGGAGGAGUGUGUUGAAAUUGAGUCGAAGGAUGGUAGGGAUGAAUAUUUUGUAGGGUUUGAAAAUUCUGAGGGUUUUGAAAAUUGUGGAAGUAAGGUUGGGCAGUAUUCGAUGCUUGCUGCUUCCAAGAAAAGUUUGGAUGAUUCCGCCAUCCCGGGUUAUAUGUAGUAGAAUAUGGAUCAUUACCGGAUCGGAAUUGCGUUUGGGCAGCAUUUACUUGUUCUUGCACAAAUUCAGGAAAUUG
rnacentral:lncRNA from 1 species